GACGAACGCUGGCGGCGUGCUUAACACAUGCAAGUCGAGCGGAGCGGCGAACGGGUGAGUAACGCGGGAGUAUCUGCCCCCCUCCCUGUGAUAACAGUUGGAAACGGCUGCUAAUACCGGAUAGUGUGGGAUGACUCGCGGCCUAUCAGCUUGUUGGUUGGGUAGUGGACUACCACGGCGACGCAGGGUAGCCGGCCUGGGAGGUCGAACGGCCACAUUAGGCUGAGAGACGGCCCAAAGUCCUACGGGGGGCAGCAGUGGAGAAUAUGGCACAAUGGGGGAAACCCUGAUGCAGCAACGCGCGGGCGGGAUGACGGCCUUCGGGUUGUAAACCGCUUUCAGCCAUGACGCGGUAGUGGCAGAAGAAGCACCGGCUAACUACGUGCCAGCAGCCGCGGUAAUAC
rnacentral:rRNA from 1 species